rnacentral:rRNA from 1 species
UACAGAGGGUGCGAGCGUUAAUCGGAAUUACUGGGCGUAAAGCGUGCGUAGACGGCUAUCUAAGUCGGAUGUGAAAGCCCUCGGCUUAACCGAGGAAGUGCAUUCGAAACUGACAGUCUUGAGUAUGGAAGAGGGUCGCGGAAUUCCCGGUGUAGAGGUGAAAUUCGUAGAUAUCGGGAGGAACACCAGUGGCGAAGGCGGCGACCUGGGCCAAUACUGACGCUGAGGUGCGAAAGCGUGGGGGAGCAAACAGG